AGUUCAGGGGAUAAUAACAUUGACCCUCACAGGUGCUUAUCGACGUGCUCUCGGAUUUACGGUUACGGACUUGAGAGUCCCAGACUGAGCGUGACUUUUAAUUCUGCAGUUUGAGACCGCAAUGUCCUCCUUGAGGGGGACAUACACCAAAGGUUGCGGGGCUCCUAGAUUUGUGGUGAAUUCAUGUUAAGCACCGACCCUGUGGCCCCUGUCAUGGCUCUCUGUUACCUUCCUUUUGUACUCUGAGCAUUACCAUAUAACAUAUAAGGUCAGCCACCACCACCCUGGUGUGGAGACUGGGAAAAGCAAGACAUCAGGAAUGUGGCAGCCUCAGUUAUUCAGGCUCAUUGGCGGGCUACUGGACAAGGAAGAAGCUGCGGGAAAGGAACCAAGCCUGUUGUGUUGCACAAGAAACUGCUAGGUCCCAGGGUCUUGGAGAGAAGAUUGCUUUACAAGACCAAGGUGCCAGUGUCAUUUGAAUCAGAUCCAAGGGCCACAGAUCCAGGAAAAGGCUCAUACCCACUGAUGCUAGUGUGGGGUGCUGUGGUAGAUCAGAUAAUAGAGGCUGCAAGACUCCAUCAUAUGCAUCACUGGAGGGCAAAGCUGCAGCCAUUAUCCAGGCUCAUUAUAGAGGCUACAGAGACCGGCAGACUUCAUGUCAUACCCAAAAUUCACAGCACAUAUACCAUUCACUAAACCCGUUCUCCAUAACUGCUUCACCCAGACCAAGCUGAGUCCUGUGUCAGCUCUGUGCAAUCAUGGGCAAAAAGAGCCUCAGCGGGAGUGGAAGGAUGUUUCCUGUCAGACCAGUGCCCCAGGACAGAAAGAGGCCAGUACCAAAGAAUGAGGCAACAUGCCCAAUGACUAGCCUUUGGUGGUGCCACCUAAGAUAGCAGAGGCAGAUUCUGCCACCAAGAACCAGAACACAUUCAGCAAAGACGAGGUACUGGAAGGGUUAGGAAGAGCCCCCACCAAUAACACUAGAGAGACGAGUGAGUCCUGAGGAACCUGUGUAUUGUAAAUCAAUCGUAAAGAAACAUUCAACCAGUCUCCGAGGGACAGGAUCCACCCUGGUGGGGGAAUAAUGAGCUGUUCCCCAUCAAUACUGCCUCCAAUACUGCCACAUGCAACAUUGCCUUGCCUCUCGAUGACCAGUGACCAACUAAGCAACAUUUCUACUUAUGGGAAAUAAUCUUUCUACCUACGAUUUUUACUUUUAUUCGUGUGUUUAUCUGUCUGUUCCCCUAUUGUGAACUUACUAUUCCUCCACCUCUUUGUGACAUCAAUUUUGAACUUGUUAACUGGGUUACAUCACGCACCCCAUUUUAUUUCCGAUUCUGACCACAACACAAAUGCCCACCCCAACAGGUUAUGUAGAAAAUGCCUGGCCUAAUAAAUUCGGUAGGAAAAG